AGAGAGAGAGAGAGAGAGAGAGAGAGAGAGAGAGAGAGAGAGAGAGAGAACAGUCGGGCCAUUCGCGCGCUAAUUCGACUUGGACGAGGGAUAACGACUGGUCGACGACUCCUGAUCGAUCAAUCGGUCCUCGGGAGGUACGAGUGCGCGCGACUUUCCGGGGGAAGACACAAUUCAUUCGAUCGCGGAGGACCUCGGGGUUGGACCGCCUCCCCGAAAGUCCGGUCGGCGCGAUCGUUGCGGGCAGAGAGACGGCCUGAAAGAGGUCAGAAGGGCCGGUGGCGACGCGCUCAGCAACAAGUUGCAGAGACUAAAGUUAAUAAACGAGCCCUCGAAGAAGCGUCUUACGGAUGCCCUUAAGCCUUCCUCAGUUCAUCGAUCUUCGCGCCACCGCGCCGGGCUUUUCUCGUUUCGUCGAGAUCACGAUGGAGAGCGACGCGGAAGAAACUCGUGCACGCUCCAUCGCGAGAAUCCUUCCUGCGAUCUUGCCGGACGGCAAAAUUAUUUUCGAACGACGCACGCAAACUUCACGCCCGAAUCCUGCCGGAGUCCGCUUCGCGGGCAGGAGAGAAGCGAGACGGAGUGGUCGCGACUCGAAAUGGAAAAGCGAAGACCCGGCGAUUCGUGGUCGACGUAGCGUACGCUCCGCGGCGGCCCUAUCUUAUUUUAGCGCAGGCCAGUGAAACGCAGGAAUGUCGGCUGUUAUCUUAUCUACGCCGUCCGUAGAUUAGAUAACGAAAGGCCCCAUGGGUCGUCGGGCCGAUUUGCUCGCGCCUGCGAGCGAGAGAAAUGUUUGGUCGGGUGAAUGAAUUUUCUCGUCAAGCACGAACGGUUCGGCGAGUCAAACUGGCAGAUAUCGGAAUUUCGCUCGAGUUAAUCAGCAAUCCUGCGCACUAAAAAAGAAAAUAUUCUAUUUGUAAAGUGACUUUUCCCAUAGUCUUAUAUUCCAAGCGAAGCCUUCUGCAGGAGAAGGAUUCCUCUUUCUCGACGAAACGAUUAAAUUGUUUCGUCAUAAACGAAGCUCCAGAAUUUUGGGAUAAAAUUAACUUAAAGACAUACUGGUCCAUGUUCCAGCGUAAGUACAUACAUAUACGUCUGUUUAUCAUAUCGCGUUGUAUACCACAUCAAAUGCCAUUUAGAGUACUUAAAAUUACAAAUUUAUGUUUUUUCCUACUUUUUCAGCAGAAAG